UACGUAGGGCGCAAGCGUUAUCCGGAAUUAUUGGGCGUAAAGAGCUCGUAGGCGGUUUGUCGCGUCUGCCGUGAAAGUCCGGGGCUCAACUCCGGAUCUGCGGUGGGUACGGCAGACUAGAGUGAUGUAGGGGAGACUGGAAUUCCUGGUGUAGCGGUGAAAUGCGCAGAUAUCAGGAGGAACACCGGUGGCGAAGGCGGGUCUCUGGGCCGAAACUGACGCUGAGGAGCGAAAGCGUGGGAGCAAACAGG
rnacentral:rRNA from 1 species